CAAAGGCUCCAAAGGAAGCCACGGCUAACUCUGUGCCAGCAGCCGCGGUAAUACAGAGGUGGCAAGCGUUGUUCGGAAUUAUUGGGCGUAAAGAGCACGUAGGUGGGUUUGUAAGUCAGAUGUGAAAGCCUUCUGUUCAACGGAAGAAUUGCAUCUGAAACUGCGAGUCUUGAGUGUAGGAGGGGAGAAUGGAACUUCUGGUGGAGCGGUGAAAUGCGUAGAUAUCAGAAGGAACGCCGGCGGCGAAAGCGAUUCUCUGGCCUAUUACUGACACUGAGUGUGCGAAAGCUAGGGGAGCAAACGGGAUUAGAUACCCCGGUAGUCCUAGCCGUAAA
rnacentral:rRNA from 1 species